rnacentral:rRNA from 1 species
GGCCCUACGGGGCGCAGCAGGCGCGAAAACUUUACAAUGCGAGCAAUCGUGAUAAGGGAACCCUGAGUGCCUGUUAUCACAGGCUGUUCUGGUGUCUAACACACACCAGGAGAAAGGGCGGGGCAAGACCGGUGCCAGCCGCCGCGGUAAUACCGGCUGCUCGAGUGAUAGCCACUUUUACUGGGCUUAAAGCGUUCGUAGCUUGGUCGUUAAGUCUCUGGGGAAAUCUUUUGGCUCAACCAAAAGGCGUCUCAGGGAAACUGGUGACCCAGGAACCGGGAGAGGUAAGACGUACUUCGGGGGUAGGAGUGAAAUCUUGUAAUCCCCGAGGGACGACCGAUGGCGAAGGCAUCUUACCAGAACGGCUUCGACAGUGAGGGACGAAAGCUGGGGGAGCAAACCGGAUUAGAUACCCGGGUAGUCCCAGCCGUAAACGAUGUGCGUUAGGUGUGUCAGCGACCACGAGUCGCUGAGGUGCCGAAGGGAAACCGUGAAACGCACCGCCUGGGAAGUACGGUCGCAAGGCUGAAACUUAAAGGAAUUGGCGGGGGAGCACCACAACGGGUGGAGCCUACGGUUUAAUUGGAUUCAACGCCGGG